GCUGCGGCUGGGAAGACGUCACUUCCUGGAUACCGCCCGCGUGACGGCGGACUGGUCACGUGCCCGCCUCCAUUUCCGGUGCCCUUUGCCGCAGCCGCUCCGCCAUGUCGGCCGCUCUCCGAGGGAUCGCCCGCCUCGCCCCGGCGCUGCUCCCGCCGCGGGCCGGCUACACCACCAAGGCAGCCCGCAGCCCGGUCGGCACCGCGGAGACUGUCAUUGCAUUGAGCACCAUAUCCACUGUGAUGCUGGUGCCAGCAGCCUGGUUCCUUGCCAACAUUGAGAGCUUCAAGAAACGGGAAUGAUGAUCCGUGGCCUGGGAGCAGAGUCCGAGACCCAUCUCCACCUCCACACUCCACUCACCCUGUCAACCUGGGACCCUGUCAAUCAACAUUCCGAGUGCUCAUAACCUGUGGCCAUCUCACGAGUUGGCUGUCUUUGAAAUGCAAUGUUAAAUGCUUCUUUUGUUGAACUGAUGUUCAUUAAAUUAAAUUUACAUCUCUGAAA